rnacentral:rRNA from 1 species
AAACGAUUGAAGUCAGUCGUACCGACGGAAAAUCAACUAUAUCGAGUAUGAUUUUGUGGGUGGUGAAGAGCUUAACGGCCUUCAUAUUUGCAAAUUUGUAUUCUUGUGGUGUAUUUUUUCGUAUGGUGGGUCAACAUCAAUUUUGAUCGUUAUAAAAUGAUUGGGGGAAUGUAGCUUUGAUCUCGUAUUGAAGUGUUAUAGCCUCUGAUAGAUGUAACGAUUGGGAUUGAGGAUUGCAACGGAUGUCCUUCGGGGCUAUCCGCCUGAUCUCUGGAAGUCACUUUGGUAUCGAAAGCGUGCUUUCGGUAUUGAGGAUGGUGACCAAAAGGUUAGAGCGUGAUUAAAUUCGUUAAGGAUGUUGACGUAAUGACUUUAAACGA